CUUCAAAUCAUUAUUCCAUUUCUCUCUCCUCCAUCAUCGUCUUCCCCUCUCUCUCUAAAAACUUGAAUUCCUCUCGCCUUUCAUUGCGAAUUCCUCAAAGGCCAAUCUUCAAUUGCCCUAAUUCGUCCCUUUCCCCAUUUGAGGAUUCCUCUGAUCCUCGAUUACAGGAACGCCUUCAUCUUUGUCGCGGAUCCUCUUUUCCAGGGGAGAAUUUGUUCUGUUGUUCUUGAAUUUUGCUUUGUUUUCAAUCGAGUUCUUCUUGUUUUGCUCUCUUCGGAAAUUUAGGAUCUCGGCGACAUGAGCUUUCAAGAUAUCGAGGCUGGUCGCCCGUUUGCUUCUUCGAGGAGAGACCUCAUCAAUGGCAAACAAGAUCCCACGCAAGCCGUUGCCUCAGGUAUAUUUCAGAUUAAUACUGCCGUUGCUACGUUUCAGAGGCUUGUUAACACCUUAGGUACGCCGAAGGAUACGCCUGAGCUACGGGAGAAGCUGCACAAGACCAGGUUACAUAUUGGACAGUUGGUUAAAGAUACCUCUGCCAAACUUAAACAAGCCAGUGAAAUAGAUCAUCAUGCAGAAGUUAAUGCCAGCAAGAAAAUUGCAGAUGCUAAACUUGCAAAAGAUUUUCAAGCAGUGUUGAAAGAAUUUCAGAAGGCUCAACGACUUGCAGCUGAGAGGGAAACAGCAUAUACACCUUUUGUUCCCCAGACUGUUCUACCUUCUAGCUACACAGCAGGCGAAUCAGAUGCAAGCUCCGAAAAGAAUCUUGAACAGCGUGCUCUCCUUGUGGAAUCCAGGAGACAAGAGGUCUUGCUGUUGGACAAUGAAAUCGCCUUCAAUGAGGCAAUAAUUGAGGAAAGAGAGCAAGGUAUUCAUGAAAUCCAGCACCAAAUUGGAGAAGUGAAUGAAAUUUUUAAAGAUCUUGCAGUUUUAGUCCAUGAACAGGGAGCCAUGAUUGAUGAUAUUGGAUCCAACAUAGAGGGCUCCCAUGCUGCAACAUCACAGGGAACAACUCAGCUGGUAAAAGCCUCAAAGACGCAAAGAUCAAAUUCAUCUCUGGCUUGCUUACUUUUGGUGAUAUUUGGUAUUAUCCUCCUGAUUGUGAUCAUAAUAGUUGUUGCUUAAAUGAAAGAAGAAGAAGUGCAUUGACACAGGAAACACUUGCUGCUGUUGUAGCAAGAUGAAUGUCCUGUUAGUUUCUUUUGAUAUAACUGUACUUUGUGGUCGUGGAUCAUCCUGCCUUCUGGGAAAGGGUUGUGGAGGGGCUCUUAUGUAUAAUACUCUAUAUCCUCAGUCAGGUCGGCCAUCCUCUUCUCUUCCAUUUGGAAAUGUUAUAACCUGUGUUGUGUGAAGAAGCAUUUACCCCAUUUGCAUGGUGGCUGGUAAAAUGCGAGGGAGAGAGACAGAGCUCUCUCCCACUCACUCUAUGGUUGGGAUAUGGUUUGUAAUAAAUAAAAGGAUUGGUCGUCUUGUUGGUGCUUUUUUGGAUUUACCAGACUGUAACUUAGUGACUACUGAAUCGUGAUGGUAAAACUGGCUGCUGUUCUUGUGUUUUGGGCUAAAAGAGAAUCCUUUUCUUU